rnacentral:rRNA from 1 species
CGUGAGAUGUUGGGUUAAGUCCCGUAACGAGCGCAACCCUUGUCCUUAGUUACCAGCACGUUAUGGUGGGCACUCUAAGGAGGACUGCCGGUGGACAAACCGGAGGAAGGUGGGGAUGACGUCAAGUCAUCAUGGCCCUUACGGCCUGGGCUACACACGUGCUACAAUGGUCGGUACAAAGGGUUGCCAAGCCGCGAGGUGGAGCUAAUCCCAUAAAACCGAUCGUAGUCCGGAUCGCAGUCUGCAACUCGACUGCGUGAAGUCGGAAUCGCUAGUAAUCGUGGAUCAGAAUGUCACGGUGAAUACGUUCCCGGGCCUU